GGCGUGGACGACUGGUUGGUCUUUGACUAUUACUAGUUCGGACACGUCUUUCCUUCUGGGUGGCGUCUGUUUCGGCAGGCGUGAUCCAGGACCUUUACUUUGAAAAAAUUAGAGUGUUUAAAGCAGGCUUACGCUUGAAUACAUUAGCAUGGAAUAACUGAAUAGGACUUUGGUUCUAUUUUGUUGGUUUCUAGGACCAGAGUA
rnacentral:rRNA from 1 species